UUUGGUUUCGAUUUCAUAUUUGUAUCAAAGACUGAUUUUAAUCAAAUAAAAUCGAAAUUUAAUAUAUUGGUAUCGUAAUUUGGACUGGAUAUAAGGAUUAUUUAUAUUGAAUUUAAAUCUGGAAUAUUUUUCAUCUGAAUUGAUUUCAAUAUAUAUGCUCCUGACAUUUAAAUCUAUUUGUUAAAACAUAUGUGUAAUUAUGGCGUCCGGUGGAAAUAAUGCAAAGGCGAUUAUAUUUUAUGACAGUGAAGGCGCAAACGAAGCGUCUAAAACAGAGGCAGACAAAUUGAGGUUCUUCAUUGAAAAGAAUGGUGGAUACACAUGUCAAACUGACCAUGAAAUAAGAAUACCUGGAACCGAAGUUAUGAAUAACAUUCACCAUUCAAUUAAUCGUUAUGACAGAAUAAUAAUUCUUAUAACAAAUCAAUCUGCUUCAAAAGGAUGGUUCACAUUUGCAGUUUUGUCUGCCUUAGAAAACAUAAUUGUGGAAAAUCACAUGAGACUUUUGGUCGCAUACAAAGGAAAUCGACGUGAAGAUGUUGGGUUUCUGAAAACCGGAUUGCUGUCGUUGACGCCCAAGACGUUUGUCGACCUCACUGAAUGGCAGGGAUAUGAAAGGCUUCUCAAACAACCGAAAACUCCAGUGUGUUUGGACGAAGAAUUACCAGCAGGAAACUUGCAUCUUGGCUUGGUCCAUUCCCACAUAUCCGGUUACAUGUGCUAUGUUGCUGAAGAACAAGAAUUGGUUGGAGAAAUGCGAUGGGUACAGAAAAGAACAAAAAACUACUGAUUGGAAAUUUUCUGUUGGCUGUACCAAAAACCUGCGCUGUCCCACAGCAGCUUCCGUCAAAUUCGGCAUCAGGCAUUGUUAUUUCGAAUGUGGAUACAUUUGAGUUUAAGAGAAUACAUGCGGGUAAAAACACAGAGAUUAUGUUGUUACCAUCAACCAGAUAAAGCACGCGAACAACGAGUUGUACGUUUGUGCCCAGGUACCAACUACGAUAACUGCAAUAUCAAAUCUUGCAAAGCAGCACCUUGGGAAAAUAAAUGUCGCUCUCGAGCACCAGCAUUUCUGUCAAUCAUACCAGCAGAUAAUCGAUGCGAAAGGAUGGGGUGACUUCUUGGAAAUCGUUCCAUGUGAAGAUGAGUGUUUACAUAUCAUGUUUUGAUAUUGAUGGAGAUUCUUGUGAAGAGAUCGAAAAAGAGCUACAAAAACCUCAUAUGAACAUCAUACGACAUGAAAACACACCAGGAAGAUUCCUGCUCUCAGAUGGUGACAAUCGAGAAGGAUGGAUAAUAGUUAUUGUAUCGAAAGAAUCGCUGAAAAGCGAACUGCUUUCUUUCAAUCUCAUAAAAUGCCUGACUGCCGAUGUUGAUGACGGCAGAUUGAGGAUCCUGCUUGUAUUGCGCAGCGGUGUGAAUAUCUCAGAAGUACCAAGAUGUAUUCGUUGGGUUACAGUAUUCAGCGAAGAUGAGAAAUCCUACAAAAACUGGAUUGUAAGAACAGUUUCAGGUAAUUUGCAUCAGUGUAUG